rnacentral:rRNA from 1 species
CAGAGAUGCCUUGGUGCCUUCGGGAAUCGCGAAGACAGGUGCUGCAUGGCUGUCGUCAGCUCGUGUCGUGAGAUGUUGGGUUAAGUCCCGCAACGAGCGCAACCCUUGUCCUUAGUUGCCAUCACGUUAAGUUGGGAACUCUAAGGAGACCGCCGGUGACAAACCGGAGGAAGGUGGGGAUGACAUCAAGUCAUCUUGGCCCUUAUGGGCAGGGCUACACACGUGCUACAAUGGGCGGUACAAAGGGUUGCCAACCCGCGAGGGGGAGCCAAUCCCAAAAAGCCGUUCGUAUUCCGGAUCGGAGUCUGCAACUCUACUCCCUGAAAUCGGAAUCGCUAGUAAUCUCACAUCACAAUUGCUGCGGUGAAUAAAUUCCCGGGUCUUGGUCACACCG